UGUCUAUGGCGCAUGCGCUUAACAGAAAUUGGCCCAUGGCGGCCAUCUUCGAGAAAAGUGCACGCUCUCUAAAUUACGUCAGAUUCGGUGAGCACGCUUGACAACAUGUCUGGAUUUGAGGAAGUGGGUAUCGCCGGGAGUAUACACCUUCGGGAGGCCCUCACCAAUUGUACAGAUCCCCUCCAGGCCAUUGAGGACUUCCAGUCGGAAAAUGGCAUCCUCCUCCCAACCCUCCAACCUGCCCUUCCUCUCUUGGAUCUCCACAUGAUUCGACGUUUUGAGUUUCACCACUCUAUCAUGGAAGAAUUACGCGAGAAACUCAUGUCCCGGACGCAGGAGCUUGCAAACAGUGACACCAAGGGACGCUUCAAGACUAUAGAGGAUCUCCUCUCAAAGUGCUUUCCAUUGAUAAGGGUCAAGAGCAUCCAACCCGUGGUGAUGUCUGUUAUGAAAUGUCUUCCAAAGAUUCCAGAGAAGUACCUGACAGUUCUUGUGGAAGACAGGAGUCUCUAUGAUGUGGCCUCCAUCGAGGUGAAGCAACAGAUCUGGCAGCGGAACCCGUCUCUUUUCGGCGACGAGGUCUCACCACUCCUCACAGACUACAUCAAGAAUAAAGAGUCGGUGCUGUUUGGUAGCGAGGCAGUGAACUCUCAGAUGUUCUUUCUUGUGUCACCAAAGAUGAGACGGCAGGGCCAUGUGGUCCAAAAACUCACAAAAAUGGUCGGGAAGAGUGUGAAGCUCUUUGACAUGGUGCUGCAAUUCUUGCGGACACUCUUCCUCAGCACCAGGAACAUGCAUUACUGUACACUAAGAGCAGAACUACUGAUGUCUCUACAUGAUUUGGAGAUCCAUGAAAUUUGUACUGAGGAUCCGUGCCACAAGUUUACCUGGACCUUAGAUGCAUGUGUUAGGGAUAGACAGGUGGAUGAUAAGAAGGCCAAGGAGUUACAAGGAUUCCUGGAUGGUGUGCGAAGGGGACAGGAACAAGUCCUUGGUGACCUAUCUAUGAUCCUGUGCGAUCCCUUUGCUGUACACACUCUAGCAACCAGUGUUAUUCGUCACAUGACCAGCCUCAUCAGUCAAGACAAACUUCCAAGGGACAGUCCAGAUCUGACAUCUCUUCUCCGCAUGCUCUCGCUUGGUCUUGGUGCUUGGGAUAUGUUGGACAGCCAACGAUUUAGAGAACCCAAGUUGGAAAACGAUCUCGUCCUGAAGUUCUUGCCAGCACUCAUGUCGCUCCUCGUCGAUGACCAGAUGAGAAUUGUCAACCGCCGUCUCAAUGACACCGGCGACGACACGGACCUGAAGACACUUCCACCAUUCCUCCUCAAGUACAUACGAAGGAACAAGAUCGGUGCAACGCUCAUCCUGUACUAUGCCUUGCAUGUGACCAGUAAACGGAACAAAGAUGCCCUCGCCAGGGUCCUCCCGAACAUUGUCAAGAUGGAAGGGGAUUUAUCAUUCAAUGACAUCUUCCUACACCCUUUUGUUGCCCAGUUGUCUGUACUCCUGGAUGAGUUCUCGUCCGAUUCCUUCUGUGAGAUAGUCUUUGAUGGAUUUUUGCUUCAUGGAGCAUCCAGGGAGAAUGUAGCAAGGCAUUCUUUACGAUUGAUGGAGUUUGUGUUUCAUAAGCUGCCGGCAGCUAAGCUCUCUAAGCUACAGAAUUCCCUUGAACCUAAACCAGAGGAUUACUAACUAUCUGUGGUGGAUCAUCAUCUUCAGUCUUGGCUUGUGCAUGCAGGUGGGCUAACCAGCUUUUGAGGUCAUAAGGUCAAAGCACAGCCAAGCAGUACGUGAUCUGUAUGGCACAGUGAUGGAGAAGAUUAGCUCCCAUAAACCCAGUCCAGUCAAAGUCCCCGAGCC
rnacentral:misc_RNA from 1 species